UAAAGAGUUCUAUAACUCCCAAACCCAUGUGAACAUACCUAACGUUGCCUCGGCAGGUCGCACCUACCUUGUAGCACCCUACCCUGUAGGGCCUACCCGGGAGGUGCGGGUAAGCCUGCCGGCGGCCCACCAAACUCUGUUUGAUAUUGAAUUCUGAACCUAUAACUAAAUAAGUUAAAACUUUCAACAACGGAUCUCUUGGUUCUGGCAUCGAUGAAGAACGCAGCGAAAUGCGAUAAGUAAUGUGAAUUGCAGAAUUCAGUGAAUCAUCGAAUCUUUGAACGCAUAUUGCGCCCAUUAGUAUUCUAGUGGGCAGGACCGUUCGAGCGUCAUUUCAACCCUUAAGCCUUCGUUGCUUAGUGUUGGGAGCCUACGGCAACGUAGCUCCUCAAAGUUAGUGGCGGAGUUGGUUCACACUCUAGACGUAGUAAUUUUUUAUCUCGCCUAUUAGUUGGACUAAUCCCCUGCCGUAAAACCCCUAAUUUAUCAAGGUUGACCUCGAAUCGGUUCAGACAAACUCGCUAAAUUGAAGCAUCUUAGUCAGCGAAGGAAAAGAAACCAACAGGGAUUGCCCUAGUAACGGCGAGUGAAGCGGCAACAGCUCA
rnacentral:rRNA from 1 species